rnacentral:misc_RNA from 1 species
CGCACCUUGCACCCUCUGGUAUUCCGGAGGGUAUGCCUGUUCGAGUGUCAUGAAAGCAUCGACCGAGUCGGGAGACCGCUCGGCCGGAUCUGGGCGUUGCCGUUCGUCGGCUCGCCUUAAAAGCAUUAGCGUUGGGGGCCAUCUACUACGGCGAUUAGGUUACGUCGUCCCGGGUGGUCGUCAGCGCUCACAGCCCGCCCCUCGUGGGCACCCUUGACUUUGACCUCGGAUCAGGUAGGACUACCCGCUGAACUUAA